GUGCUCCCGGCAGCCGGCUGGGCUGGUCCUUCUACACUGGCUACACUCCCGCUGCUUUGGUUUUGGACGGCGACUGGCUUCUCUCACCUGUAGGAAACCACCAAUCAUUAACGAAUACGGAUGGUGACGAGGCGGCCAACAUAACGUCUGGGAACAGAAUAAUUUUAUUAAGGGAGCGGAACAAAUGACAGUUGUCCUUGUUUACAUCGUCAUGACCAUAUUUUGUCCAAUAGUUGCCUCUGCGCUGGGCCCGUUGGCUUGAAUAAAGACCACGCCCCGGCGGCUGUAAUUAUUUUUAUUACUGUCUGACCUCUGAUACCAACUUGAGGUUGGAUUUUCGUCGCGCUAAGACGUAUUAAAGAGAAAUGGCAUCUGUAAAGCUGAAGAUGGAUGAGUCAUGUGUCUUUUAAAGCUAGCCGCUACAGUUGCAUGUAGAAAAAAGAUAUUUAUGGUAUUUAAUUGGAUGUAAAUUAAAAAAACUGAACCUCGGAAAUGAAAAGAACUCAGGAUUCAUUCUGCUGCUGUAUGUGUUGAACGGAAUUAAUUGGGUUGCAAACCAAAA